AGUGAGAAGAAAAGGGCCAAGAGGAUAGGUGUGUGCGUGAGUCUGCGCCGCCGCCACUAGCUAUAUAUAACAAGAGUUGAGAGGACAGGAGGAUCAUGAAUCAUCUUGUAAACUGAAUCCUGAACCUAAGCAUUCAUCUGCUCUCUGAUCCCAUAUCCGUGCUUCCUACCUCGAAUCCCAAUUCUUCUAUCCUCCCAACUACCUGCUGCUAACAUAGUGGUAUCAGAGACACCGAUCUGGAGCCGCACCAAAUUUCUCACGAGCACUUCACUCGAUUUCGUAAGGGAUUGGGUGCCAUGGGUCCUCAGCUGAAGUAGAUCAUCGAUGAGCUUAAGUGCUUGAAGUCGUCGCUGGAUGAUCUCAAAGAGUUAGUGUCAGAUCGCAUCGAUGGGAUGGAGAAAAGCCUUGGUGACCAUUUUAAGGUCAUGGAGGAUGCGGCGCUGGUCUUCGAUGAUUGAAGCAUCCAUGGAGGAUCUGCGGAUUGAAGUGGGGGCACUUCGCAAAGCUGUGAAUCGAGUGCUUCUCGAUUCGUCGCCCUUACCUUCGGUAGGAAUCUUCACCAAACCUGGGUCGGCUGCGGCGUCUUCUCCUGCCGGCAACCCAGCUGACGGCCCUAGAGGGCACCGCACUGAGAUGGGGAACUGGGAGAAUGUGUUUGGGGCGGUUUUAACCCACACAUAUUCCCCGGACAAGGAUAUGUUUACUGAACUUCCAAAGCAGUUACCUAGAUCUAGUUCGCAACCGCAAUUUGACACUAGGCAUGUGAAUUUUGAUUGCUAGAUUAGUCAUGGUUUUGCUAGUAGUUUAGGUCCUGAUAGAAUUCCUAAGUUAAACUUCCCUGAAUUUGAUGGUGAUAACCCCAGAUUGUGGAUCAGGCAUAGUGAGGAUUAUUUUGAGCUGUGCCAUGUAGAUCCUAAUGCUUGGAUUAAAAUUUCGUCCAUGUAAUUUACCAAAGCUGCUGCUUGUUGGUUGCAAUCAUUAGAGAAAUGAGUCAGGAGUGUGCCCUAGUCUGAAUUUUGCAAAAUGAUCAUUUUGGCAAAGAAUAUCAUGAGCUUUUGAUAAGACAGCUAUUUCACAUUAAGCAAUUGAGUAGUGUGGCAGAGUAUAUAGAGAGAUUUUCUGAGCUGGUUGAUCAAUUAACAACUUAUGAAUCUCGCACUGACCCUCUCUAUUAUACCAUGCAUUUUAUUGAUGGAUUGAAAAGUGAAUUCAAAUCUGCUGUUCUAGUUCAGCGUCCUCCCAUUCUAGAUACUGCUUGUGUCCUUGCCCUUUUGCAGGAAGAGGUAUCUUAUCAUGACAAGAAGAAGGAGAUGCGAAAACAUGAUUAUUUCCACAUGCCAAGACCUCCAAUCAAGCAGUCCUUGCCACUUUCACCACCACCAAAGUUGGAAAAAGUUGAUGACAAGCGUCUAGCGGAACAAUCACGCAGCAGGUCAGUGCAUGAUAGGCUGUCAGCACUACGUGCUUACCGUCAUGCCAAGGGCCUCUAUGUCAAAUGUGCACAAAAAUGGAGCAGGGAUCAUAAAUGUCCAGAUUCUAUUUAGUUGCAUGUUAUCCAGGAAAUAUGGGAUUUAUUCCAACUGCAAGAUGAACAGGGUGAUACUGAGGCAGGAUAUGUGGAUGCUCCAGAACAGCUAUUUCUCUCUCUCUCUCUCUCUCUCUCUCUCUCUCUCUCUCUCUGAGGCUGCUGUGUCGGGGUCUGAAGCUCCAAAGACAAUGCAUUUUAGAGGUCUAGUUCAAGGCAAAGAGGUGAUGAUUAUAAUUGACUCUGGGAGUUCCAAUACUUUUAUCAGUACAACACUGGCAUCAACUUUGCAAGGGGUGUUCCCAAUGCAUAAACCAAUGGGGGUUUAGGUUGCUGAUGGGGGACGAAUGAGUUGUUUAUCUCACCUACCUGAGGCUGAUUGGUCAAUUUAGGGGUGUUCCUUUAAAUCUGACAUGAAGGUUUUUGCCAUUAAGCCAUUAUGAUCUGAUAGUGGGCAUGGACUGGUUAGAGCAAUAUAGCCCUACGAAGGUGCAUUGGAAGCAAAAGUGGAUGGCCAUUCCAUAUUUGGGGCCUAUUUCUAUAUUACAGGGUAUGGUGCAAGAAUUACAUGAAGGCUCUAUUGUUAAGGUUUGUACUGUCUUGAUCUCUGAUAAGGCAACUAUCAAGUUAGAAGUUCCUUCAGAGUUGGCUCAAUUGCUGGAUGAAUUUGGUGAUGUCUUCGAUGCUCCUAGUGGGCUACCUCCUUCUCGACCUUGUGAUCACAGCAUUCCAUUGGUGGAAGGGGCCACUCCAGUGUCAGUAAGAUCAUAUAGAUACCCUCCCGCAAUCAAAUAUGAGAUUGAGAGGUAGAUCAUAGCAAUGCUGCAAGAAGGUAUUAUUCAGCAUAGUACUAGACCUUUUUCAUCACCUGUUUUGCUGGUUAAGAAGGACAAAACUUGGAGAUUUUAUGUUGACUUAGGCAUCUGAAUGCAAUCACAUUAAAGUGAAAAUACCCAGUGCCGCUCAUUGAGUACUUCUUAGAUGAAUUGGGCCAGGCAAGUUGGUUCACCAGCUUAGAUGUCACAGCAGGUUAUCACCGGAUCAAGCUUAAAGAAGGUGAAGCUUAUAAGACAGCUUUCCAGACUCACUCUGGACAUUAUGAAUUUAGAGUAAUAGAGUAAUGGCUUUUGGGUUGUUUGGGUGCCCCGUCUACAUUUUAGAAAGCAAUGAAUACCACAUUAGCUCCACUGCUUAGAAAGUGUGUGCUAUUUUUCUUUGAUGUUUUUUGAUUUAUAGUAACACAUAUGAAGAACAUUUGGAACAUAUCAAGCUGGUCUUACAACUAUUAGCUAAAGAUCAGUGGAAAGUCAAAUUUUCCAAGUGUACCUUUGCUCAAAGAUAAAUAACAUAUCUAGGUCACAUUAUCAGCCAGGAUGGAGUGGCUACAGAUCCUAGCAAAAGCUCAGCUAUUAUGGACUGGCUUGUUCCUGCCAAUGUGAAAGAACUCAGAGGGUUUUUGGGUUUGGCUGGAUAUUACAACAAAUUUGUGAAGCAUUUUGGAGUUAUCUCUAAACCUCUAAUAGAAUUGUUAAAAAAGGGAGUUGUGUACAUUUGGACCUCUGACCAUCAUGUUGCAUUUCAAGCUCGAAAGAAUGCACUGAUUUCAGCACCAGUAUUGGCUUUGCCCAAUUUUUCAAUUCCAUUUUGUAUUGAAACUAAUGCCAGUGAAGUGGGGAUAGGUGAAGUCCUGAUGCAAAAAUGGCACCCUUUGCCUUACAUCAAUAAAGCCUUGAGGCCUAGAUCUCAAGGCCUAUCUACUUAUGAGAAAGAGUACAUGGACAUAUUGGCAACAGUGGAAUAGUGGAGGCACUAUUUGCAAUAUGGUGAGUUUCAUAUCUACACGGACCAAAAAAGUCUAGUUCAGCUAUCUGAACAGCGUCUGCACAUACUAUAGCAGUAGAAGGUUUUCACCAAGCUAUUGGGUCUUCAGUACAAAAUCAUUUAUAAGAAAGGAGUGGAUAAUAGAGCUGCGGAUGCCCUCUCAAGAAGAUCUCAAGCACCAGAGGCUGAAUGUGCAGUGAUUUCUACUAGUACUCCACAAUGGCUAGAGCAGGUGGUAGCAUUUUAUGGCCAAGAUAGUCAUGCUCAGACUGUAAUGGCUAAAUUGGUAGUGGAGGAAACAACAGUGUCUAAUUUCACCUUCAAGGAUGAUCUGCUCCGUUAUAAAAAUAGAAUAUGGAUUGGGAAGGAUGACAUACUUCAGAACAAGCUGAUGAAAGCUUUUCAUUGUUCCGCAGUUGGGGGUCAUUCAGGAGUACCUGUCACAUACAAGAGGAUGAGCAAAUGUUUGCUUGGCAGGGCAUGAAGAAGGCUGUCCAGCAAUUUGUUCAGUCGUGUUUGGUGUGCCAUCAGGCUAAGCCUGACAGGUCUCGGCUUCCCUGGUUGCUACAACCGUUACCAAUGCCCACAAGAUCUUGGCAGGUAAUCACUAUGGACUUCAUUGAAGGCUUACCUAAAUCUAGGCAUGCCAACUGUAUUUUAGUUGUUGACACCUUCUCCAAGUAUGCACAAUUUUUGCCCUUGAUUCAUCCCUUCACGGCUGCUUCAGUAGCUAAACUGUUCCAUAACCAAGUCUACAAGUUACAUGGUAUGCCAACUAUGAUUGUUUCUGAUCGCGAUAAGGUGUUCACAAGUAAAUUGUGGAAGGAGCUGUUUCGCCUUGCUGAUGUUACACUGAACAUGGGCUCAACAUAUCAUCCACAAGCAGACGUGCAAACUGAGCGUGUAAUCAAUGCCUGGAUACAUUCAUACAUUGUUUUGUGCAUGCUUGUCCAUUACUUGGAACCAAUGGUUAGCUCUGGUGGAAUUCUGGUAUAACAACAGUCCUCAUUCUACAACUGAAAAAUCUCUAUUCAUGAUUCUUUAUGGCUAUGAACCUCAUCACUUUGGUAUAUCUGAAGAUGAUGCAGUCACAGUGUCAGAUCUUGCUGAAUGGCUUUAGGAGCAUAAUGUGAUGACUGGUUUAGUCCAUCAACAUUUACUCAGGGCUAAGGAGAGAAUGAAGAAGCAAGCUGAUGCAAAAAGGACUGAGGGGUCUUUUUAGAUUGGUGAUUGGGUAUUCCUGAAAGCUCAACUGUAUGUACAGUCAUCUUUGGCUCCCAGAGCGAACCAGAAAUUAGCUUUCAAGUUCUUUGAACCAUAUCAAGUGGUAGCUCGUGUGGGUUCAGUCGCGUAUAAGUUGCAACUUCCAGAUUCCUCAUUGGUUCACCUGGUAUUUCAUGUUUCACAACUCAAGAAACUUAUGGGUACUCCAAAUGAGGUGACUCCAUUGCUAUCUGACCACACCUUCAGGAGGAUUUGGUGCCUUACAGUAGUAGUUUCCUCGUGCGGCUGUUUGGGGACAACCAGCAAGUCAAGAAGGGGGGGGGGGAUGUCAGCAUCGCUUUCGAGCAAGCUUAUCUAGGCCUCGCAAGUCUUCACGGACCAGGAAGGAUAACCACCGCUUCAGUGGCCUAGAAUGGGAUUAGGUGUAUGCGUGAGUCUGCGCCGCCGUCGCUAGCUAUAUGUAAAAGGAUGGGGAGAUUAUGAAUCAUCUUGUAAACUGAAUCCUAAACCUAAGCAUUCAUCUGCUCUCCAAUCCCAUAUCCAUGCUUCCUACCUUGAAUCCAAAUUCUUCUAUCCUCCCAA